GGCCGCAUGGCGUAAUGGCAGCGUGUUUGACUACGAUGAGAGAUCACCGAUUUUCGACAUCAAGAGGUUGCGGGUUCGAGUCCCGUUGUGGUCA